GUACUUACCUGGCAAGGGAGAUACCGUUAUUAAGAGAGAGGUUCUCCCAGGAUGAGGGUAUCCCUUGUCCUUCAGGUGUGGUGACGCCUGCAAUGUCCCCAAAUGCGGGAUACUUGACUGCAAAAUUUGUGGUAGUGCUGGACUGUGUUUGCACUCUCCCCUU